rnacentral:misc_RNA from 1 species
GAAAUGCGAUAAGUAAUGUGAAUUGCAGAAUUCAGUGAAUCAUCGAAUCUUUGAACGCACAUUGCGCCCCCUGGUAUUCCGGGGGGCAUGCCUGUUCGAGCGUCAUUUCACCACUCAAGCCUCGCUUGGUAUUGGGCGACGCGGUCCGCCGCGCGCCUCAAAUCGACCGGCUGGGUCUUUCGUCCCCUCAGCGUUGUGGAAACUAUUCGCUAAAGGGUGCCGCGGGAGGCUACGCCGUAAAACAAACCCAUUUCUAAGGUUGACCUCGGAUCAGGUAGGGAUACCCGCUGAACUUAAGC